rnacentral:rRNA from 1 species
CCUACGGGAGGCAGCAGUGGGGAAUCUUGCACAAUGGAGGAAACUCUGAUGCAGCGAUGCCGCGUGAGUGAAGAAGGCCUUUGGGUUGUAAAGCUCUUUUGUAGGGGAAGAUAAUGACUGUACCCUAAGAAUAAGGUCCGGCUAACUUCGUGCCAGCAGCCGCGGUAAUACGAAGGGACCUAGCGUAGUUCGGAAUUACUGGGCGUAAAGCGCGCGUAGGCCGUUGAGUCAGUUAAUUGUGAAAUCCCAAAGCUUAACUUUGGAACUGCAAUUAAAACUGCUCGACUAGAGUUUGAUAGAGGAAAGCGGAAUACAUAGUGUAGAGGUGAAAUUCGUAGAUAUUAUGUAGAACACCAGUUGCGAAGGCGGCUUUCUGGAUCAACACUGACGCUGAGGCGCGAAAGUAUGGGUAGCAAAGAGGAUUAGAUACCCUCGUAGUCCAUACCAUAAACGAUGAUUGCUAGAUGUUGGAAAUUUAUUUUCAGUAUCGCAGCUAACGCAUUAAGCAAUCCGCCUGGGGAGUACGACCGCAAGGUUAAAACUCAAAGGAAUUGACGG